rnacentral:rRNA from 1 species
CAUGUCCUUUUGUUUGAUUUAUUUAAGGUCGGCCCUGCCCCAUGAUUCGUUUAAUGGCCGCAGUAUUUUAACUGUGCUAAGGUAGCAUAAUCAAUUGUCUUUUAAUUGGGGGCUAGGAUGAACGGGUUUAUGAAGCACUUUCUUUCUUUUUAUUAUUUAUAUGAAUUUAAUUUUUUAGUUAAAAAGCUAAUAUUUUAUUAAAGGACGAGAAGACCCUAUAGAGCUUUAUAUUUAAUUAUUUGUUUAAUUUUUGUUAAUAUUUUUUAUACAAUUGAGUUAAUUAUUUGAUUGGGGUGAUUUUGGUAUUUUUAUAACUACUUUUUAAAGUUUCAUUUAUGAAUGUUUUUAUGAUCCAUUAUUUAUGAUUAUAAGAUUAAGUUACCUUAGGGAUAACAGCGUUAUUUUCUUGGAGAGUUCUUAUUGAUAAGGAAGUUUGCGACCUCGAUGUUGGAUUAAAAUAAGUAAUGGGCGUAGCAGUUCAUUUACUGGGUCUGUUCGACCUUUAAAGUUUUACA